rnacentral:rRNA from 1 species
CAUUCACGGAGAGUUUGAUCCUGGCUCAGGACGAACGCUGGCGGCGUGCUUAACACAUGCAAGUCGAACGAUGAAGCCCUUCGGGGUGGAUUAGUGGCGAACGGGUGAGUAACACGUGGGCAAUCUGCCCUUCACUCUGGGACAAGCCCUGGAAACGGGGUCUAAUACCGGAUACGACCUGCCGAGGCAUCUCGGCGGGUGGAAAGCUCC